rnacentral:rRNA from 1 species
UUGACCUCAAAUCAGGUAGGACUACCCGNUGAACUUAAGCAUAUCAAUAAGCGG